rnacentral:rRNA from 1 species
AUUGAACGCUGGCGGCAUGCCUUACACAUGCAAGUCGAACGGCAGCAUGAUCUAGCUUGCUAGAUUGAUGGCGAGUGGCGAACGGGUGAGUAAUACAUUGGAACGUGCCCUGUAGUGGGGGAUAACUAGUCGAAAGAUUAGCUAAUACCGCAUACGACCUGAGGGUGAAAGUGGGGGACCGCAAGGCCUCAUGCUAUAGGAGCGGCCGAUGUCUGAUUAGCUAGUUGGUGAGGUAAAGGCUCACCAAGGCGACGAUCAGUAGCUGGUCUGAGAGGACGAUCAGCCACACUGGGACUGAGACACGGCCCAGACUCCUACGGGAGGCAGCAGUGGGGAAUUUUGGACAAUGGGCGAAAGCCUGAUCCAGCAAUGCCGCGUGUGUGAAGAAGGCCUUCGGGUUGUAAAGCACUUUUGUCCGGAAAGAAAUGGCUCUGGUUAAUACCUGGGGUCGAUGACGGUACCGGAAGAAUAAGGACCGGCUAACUACGUG